AUGUUCACUUCAUUUCUCUUGCUGUUGCUGGCUGCUGUGUCUUGUAUUGACUGUCAGGUUGUGCUCACACAGUCUGAACAAUCUGAGUCAGUCAUCAUCAAACCUGGGAACAAUCAUAAACUGACCUGUACCUUCUCUGGGAUUGAUGUUGGAGCUGCAGAUAUUUCAUGGACAAGACAAGUUGAAGGAAAAGCGCUUGAGUGGAUCUCACAUAUUUCUUCUCCAAGUGGCAGCAGCCAGAGAUGUAUAGUAACGAAUACUUUAUACAUCUCUGGCAGCAGCAAAUAUUACUUUAAAACUGUUGAAGGACGAUUCACCAUCUCCAGAGACAACAGUAAAAUGCAGGUGUAUCUGCACAUGACAAAUCUGCAGACUGAAGACACUGCCGUUUAUUACUGUGCUCGAAAAAAAACAUGCAAACCCAAAACAUUUUACUCCAACUAUGAAUAA